rnacentral:tRNA from 1 species
UGGCUAGUGUUUUCAUGGCAUCUCACCUAGAAUAGCACCUGCUUUGGGAGCAGGGGGUCGCGGGUUCAAAUCCCGCCAGCCCGA